GACGAACGCUGGCGGCGUGCCUAAUACAUGCAAGUUGAGCGCUGAAGGUUGGUACUUUUGCCAACUGGAUGAGCAGCUGACGGGUGAGUAACGCGUGGGGAAUCUGCCUUUUAGCGGGGGACAACAUUUGGAAACGAAUUCUAAUACCGCAUAAAAACUUUAAACACAAGUUUUAAGUUUGAAAGAUGCAAUUCCAUCACUCAAAGAUGAUCCCGCGUUUUAUUAGCUAGUUGGUGAGGUAAAGGCUCACCAAGGCGAUGAUACAUAGCCGACCUGAGAGGGUGAUCGGCCAAAUUGGGACUGGGACACGGCCCAAACUCCCACGGGAGGCCGCAGUAGGGAAUCAUCGGCAAUGGACGAAAGUCUGACCGAGCAAAGACGGGUGAGGGGAGAAGGGUUUCGGAUCGUAAAACUCUGUUGGUAGAGAAGAAAGUUGGUGAGAGUGGAACGCUCAUCAAGUGACGGUACCUAAACAGAAAGGGACGGCUAACUACGUG
rnacentral:rRNA from 1 species